UACAGAGGUCUCAAGCGUUGUUCGGAUUCAUUGGGCGUAAAGGGUGCGUAGGUGGCGCUGUAAGUCGGGUGUGAAAUUUCGGGGCUCAACCCCGAACUUGCAGUGGGUACGGGCAGACUAGAGUGUGGUAGGGGAGACUGGAAGUUCCUGGUGUAGCGGUGAAAUGCGCAGAUAUCAGGAGGAACACCGGUGGCGAAGGCGGCGCCUGGUCCGAUACUGACGCUGGAGGCGCGAAAGCGUGGGGAGCAAACAGG
rnacentral:rRNA from 1 species